rnacentral:rRNA from 1 species
UACGUAGGGUGCAAGCGUUGUCCGGAAUUAUUGGGCGUAAAGAGCGUGUAGGCGGCCCGAUUAGUCCGCUGUGAAAGUUCAGGGCUCAACCCUGGAAUGCCGGUGGAUACUGUCGGGCUAGAGUCCGGAAGGGGCGAGUGGAAUCCUGGUGUAGCGGUGAAAUGCGCAGAUAUCAGGAGGAACACCAAUGGCGAAGGCAGCUCGCUGGGACGUGACUGACGCUGAGACGCGAAAGCGUGGGGAGCAAACAGG